UUCCACAGCUACUGGCCUGAAACUGUUCUGUACUGUAGCAGUUGCAGUAUUCCAACUGUGGAAAAUCAGCAGUUGCACUAGAUAAUGCUCCUUUCUCAAUCAGGGGAAGGGAACUUAAGUGUAACAGACAAGA